rnacentral:lncRNA from 1 species
AUGACUGCAGACCUCCCCACAAGGAGGAGGGAAGCUGGCCUCCAAGGAGGCGUAUCCCACGGUGCAGUGGUCUCUGGCCGGGGUCUUGAAGUCAUUUGGUCAAGUAGACUUGGGAAGGAGAGAGAGAAGGGCAGACAGCAUCUAUGGAGACUGUCACAGAGAAUGGAAAGAGAAUGGGAUCUGCAAUCUAAUGGGCUGGUAUAUCUCAGCAGCAGCAGCAACAACAAUAAUACAGAAUUCAGGCCAGGCGUGGUGGUUCACGCCUGUAGUCCUAGCACUUUGGGAGACUGAGGUGGGCAGAUCGCUUGAGCCCAGGAGUUUGAGACCAGCCUGGGCAACAUGGUGAAACCCCGUCUCUACACAAAAUACAAAAAUUAGCUGGGCAUGUUGGCAUGUGCCUGUAGUGCCAGCUGCUUGGGAAGCUGAGGCAGGAGGAUUGCUUGAGCCCAGGAGGUGGAGGCUGCAGUGAGCCAUGUUUGUACUACCAUACUCCAGCCUGGGUGACAAAGUAAGACCCUGUCUCAAAGUAAUACUAAAUACUGAGUUCAUCUUGCAUUCCUGCUACACGCUGAGCACUGCUCAGGUAUUCACCUGAAUUACUGUACACAGUUCUCGUGAGAACCCUAUGAGGUAGGUCUCAGUACUGUCCCUUUGUACAGACACGGAAGUGGAUGCCCAGAGAGGGUCACUUGCUCCCUUUUUUUUACUUUUUUCUUUUUUUUUUUUUGAGACAGAAUCUGGCUCUGUUGCCCAGACUGGAGUGCAGUGGCGUGAUCUCUGCUCACUACAGCCUCCACCUCCCAGGUUCAAGCAAUUCUCGUGCUUCAGCCUCCUGAGUAGCUGGGACUAUAGGCGUGCACUACCAUGCCUGGCUAAUUUUUGUAUUUUUAGUAGAGACAGGGUUUUGCCAUGUUGGCCAGGCUGGUCUCGAACUCCUGACCUCAAGUGAUCUACCCGCCUCGGCCUCCCAAAGUGCUGGGAUUACAGGCGUGAGCCACCACAGCCAGCCGUCAGUUGCUCACUUGGUGAAGUCAGGAUUCUAAUUCUGGCUAUUGAAGUUUGAAACUGAAGCUCCUAUCCAUUAAUGGAAGAACCCAGAUUUGGGAGUUUCCUGGAAGACCCACCUGGGGUGGGAGGUGAAUUGAUUGGAGCAACACCGACAAUGCCCACAGUAACAACCCCAGGGACGCUAAUAGCCUGGCCGUGGAAGCAGCUGCUAUGAACCUGGCCCGGAGCCGGGCCCUGGAUAAAGAGCUUCAUGUACUUCAUUGCACGUUCCCAGCAACUUCCCACAGCCAGCACGUCACGGGUGCUUGGGAGGUGUUACUUGCAUAUUUGUUGACUCAAUCACUGAACAACUCUAGGCGGCCGUUAAUUUUAUCGCAUUUUGCAGAGGAGAGAACUGAGACUCAAAGGAGCCAACUUGCCUGGUGACUGCCCCGCUCAGCGCCGAGGACCACUUCUGGACUGGGAUGGCAUUUCCAUCAGGCAGCUGGGAAAUUAGGCCAACCGGAAGAUGUUGUGAACUUUUUGCAAAAAGAGC